AUGUGUACGGACAGUAGAGCCGUUAACAAGAUCACCAUAAGGUAUAGAUUCCCUAUUCCCCGUCUGGAUGAUAUGUUGGAUCAGCUUAGAGGAUCAAGAGUGUUCACAAAGCUAGAUUUAAGAAGUGGAUAUCAUCAAAUCCGUAUAAGACCCGAGGAUGAAUGGAAGACCACCUUCAAGACAAAGGAAGGGUUGUUUGAAUGGCUAGUCAUGCCAUUUGGACUCUCAAAUGCACCAAGUACCUUUAUGCACUUAAUGAAUCAAGUCCUUAGACUCUUCUUAUCCCACUUUGUUGUGGUCUAUUUCGAUGACAUCUUGAUCUAUAGCAAGGACGAGGAUGAACACUUUGAUCACAUUCGGAAGGUGCUAGAAGUACUAAGGGAGCUCUACGUCAACUUGAAGAAAUGUGUUUUCCUGCAAACACAACUUCUUUUCCUAUGA
rnacentral:rRNA from 1 species